UUUUCGUUUUUCCGUAUCCAAAGUUUGACCAUUCGUCUUAUUUGAAAUAUUUUUGCGAUUAAUAUUUUUAUUAUUACUAGAUGAUAAAAUAUGAAUAAUACUUUAUAUGUAACUAAUUUUUUUGGUUUUUGCACAAAUUUUUUAAAUAAGACGAAUGGCCAACGUUAGAUAUGAAAAA
rfam:Oryza brachyantha chromosome 9, whole genome shotgun sequence.